UGACUCGCCAACCUUGUCCCCCGUUCCUCGGUAAGGUUUGAGAGGAAGCGUUUAUUUUAAACAUGAGGUACCUGGUUUUACUUUUACUCGUGGUAUGUGUCUUCGUCAUGGUCAAUGGACAGGGAGGAGGAAGAAAUAGAAGAAGGCGUGGUGACGGAGAUGGGGACGAUGGAGGAAGAAGGAGGGGAAUAGGAAGAGGAUGGGGAUGGGGACAGCGGCGAGGAGGGUUGUUUGGAAGACGGAGAGGAGGGAUGUUCGGACGCCGCUUUGGAUUAGGACUUUCAUUGGGGCUGUUGGGAGGAGGAGGUCUAUGGAACCCAUAUCAACCUCCAUUAGGAUACUAUCCUCCGCCUCUUUCCGGACCAAUAUAUCAGCCUGGCCCAUGGUUCUAUUAAUACCAUGGAUCACCAUCGUAGUGUUGCCGUGUCAGGAUUCAUCAUUACCGUAUUUCUAUGGAAAUAAAAUGAUAACGUUAUG